CUCCGAUGAGCAGGAGGCUGCGGUGGUUUUAUGUAUCUGGAGAUUAUUCACUGUCACAAGCUAAAGACCCUCCUGCUCUUAUUUAAUUAGUUUGUCCUCAGCAAUAAAACAGAACUGAUAUUUUCUUGUUCUUUUCAAAUCCCACAAUAAACCAAAAUAGAUUAAAAAGCGAUGCAUUAAAUUAUUCGGCUAUCUAAAGUGAUAUUUUUUGAAAAAUAUAUCAAAUAUGAAUCCUUAAUUUUAUUUUAUUGCACCUAGUUUCUUUAUAAGAUUUUAUUAAAAAAUCCUCCAUGAAUACCACUGGCUGGUAACGAUGUGUUUUAGUCGGAGGGUGCGCACCUUGGAGAGCGAUUUACGCGCGGGUUCUGGGGAAAAGCACCCAGCUUAAAAUUCAAGUCAAAUCGCUUGUGUGGGCUUUCACAGAUCCUAAAGCGAUAAAGGGAAACAGGAUGGAGGAUUUUUUUCACCAAGCAGCCCGCUCUCUCCAGUGUGCGCGCCACGCUUCCAGACUCUCCCUUCACCCGCGUCCUGCGUCGUCUAUCCACGCAGAAAAACGCAGCGCGCAUGUGGCUUGCAUUAAAACAUCUGAAGAAUCUCAGCACGUGUUUUCCAGGUUUUAUCACAUCAGCUGACUGCACCUGUUUUGAUUUGAACCCUAACUUGCUCAGUGGCAUGAAGGUGAAAAAACUUAAUAAAUAUAUCUCCUCCUGGUCCCACGGAAAUGUCUAGACAAAUACGUUUGAUUUGAAUUCAUUCGUUGAAAAAUAAAAAAAUAUCCCACAUUAAGAAUGAAGUGCUUUGAUAAAAUAAAAUCACUAACCGCUCCUGUUCAACAUUCAGCUAAGGCAUUUUGUUAUUUUAUUAAAUGUUGAACAAAGACCUUUUAAUAACUCAUUCAAAACUUCUUCUUUUCCGAGGGAGGCAUGUUUCUUUAAGUAACUCUUCAAAAUGGGAAAUACAAGAGAACAUGAUAUUCAAGUAAGAUGAUUUCUGAUCUUGGUGAGUUAUGGCACAGUUACAAGAAAACAACUGGUUACCUAAACCUAAGAAGAAGUUAAUUUUCUGUUGUUUUUCCUCUUUCCUACCAUCACAACCAUAAACAGGAGUUCAUCUCAUCUCUAAUCAACAAGUAUUUCUAAGAAAAAGUAAUGUAUGAGUUGAACUUCAUUGUUUUCUCCUUAAAGAAAGGUUAUUACCUGCAAAUAAAUUAAUUAGUAGUCAGAAUUGUUUUGAACUGUCUUGUGUUAGGAAGUAAAUUAACAAAACUGACACUCUAGGAAAAAUAUGUGAAAAAGAUCAGAUUUUAUUAUCAGCGUUGCUUGUUUUACCCAUCCAGGAGAAACUGCUCGGCCGCUGCAAAUGAGGUGGAACCCAUCACCUCCUGCUUGUUGUGCAGCACAGUUUGAACCCAUGAAACGCACUCUUGUUUAUGCUGGAAAAGCCUGGUCUGCUUUGUGUUUCAGGCUCCACUUACUGUCACAGAGUUUUUCACGCAGCGCCGGAGCCGUGAUCCAGACUGCGGCGAUCUGCAGGAUACAGCCCGGUGGUGGAGACUGUAAUGCUUCACAUGUGCCAGGAGGAAACUCCACCGCUCAGCUGCAGGAGGCCUCCGUGCUUGGGGGAGAAGGUCCUGACUUUGUAGAAAGCAGAGUGAUCCUGUGCAGCAUCUGUGAGAACCACAUCCUGGCUACACGCACUGCCAUCGGCCUCCCGAAGACAAGACAUGGAGAUGACUAGUGAGAUGGAGAGGUGAUGAGAGACAAGAACCAGGUUUGGCACGGAACGAGGGAACGGGACCAGAACGAGUACAACCCGGCCAAACGUGUGGAGCUGUGAUGAUUUAUAAGAUGCUUUGAUCUGACACUAACGUGUGAUUUGUUGGAGGAGCUUUACUGUCCGUGAGGAUGCCAGGACCAGUCACCUUUGACUUCCACCACCUCCACCAGAAUGCGGCUCACCCCGGAUAAUUUUAACGAGGAGAGCCAAAGCACAUGUCUGCUUGUAUUUUUGCAUCUGCCACAAACUCAGGCACAGAGUUCACCAUCACUUUCUCAUCACCUACAUCAACAUGUCUUAUAUUAGUCUCCCAGUGAUUCAUAUUUAAGCUUUUUCACAUUUUGUCACAACUAUGUUGAGCUUCAAAAUAUUUUCAUGGGAUUUGAUUUGAUGUGGUAGACCAAUACAAAAUAAUCGGUAGCUGUAAAAUAAAACAAUACACACAUGGUUCGAAUGAAAAGCAAAAUCUGAAAAGAGUCAAGUGCAUUUGUAUUUAUUCCCAUUUAAUCUAAGAGCUCUAAAUAAAACCCUUCAUAAAUCACAUGAUCAGUAAAAAGAGUUAACCUGGGUCUGAUUUGAUGGGGCAGAGAGUCACAACUCUGGUGGGAAAGUCUUUCAGUAUUAGUUGUGAAUUUCAUAAAACUGUUGGUAGGAAUAAGGAGGGAUCUAAAUAGAUGCAAAUCCUGAUCAAAAACAUUGGAGAUGCUACAAAAGAGAUAUGGAAUUAGGAUUUUAUCACAGUAUUUUGUGGUACUAUUGUUAUAACAGUAAAAUUGAUAAUAAAUUAGUUAUUACUUAAUUUCUGUAGGUAAAAUUACUUACAUGACUGUGAACAGCGUUAAUAGCACCACAAACACAAAUAUUGAUUUUGAAAAACAUUCCCAUAUGAAAUUUGCUUCUUCAGGAUCCCAUUUACUUUUAAUUGUCAUUAUUGAUGUGGAGAAAAUAGUAAAAACAUUAUUUCUGAUAAUUCCGGCAGUUUUUAUAACAUCACUAAUUGGGAUUUAUCAAGACAACAACAAAUCAAAAAAUGUUAUCAUGAUAAAAAUGAUCCAUAAAUGGCCUCCCUAAGACUGGUGUUCAGCUUCCAGCAGAAAAACAACCAUAAAAAACAGCCAGAACUGCAAUGAAAUGGUUUAGAAUUAGAGUUAGAAUGGCCCAGUCAAAGUCCAGGCAGAAAUCCAAAAAGCCACUCUACGAUGCUCUCCGUUCAGUGAGACUGAUUGAACUCGAGUCAUUCUGAAAGAAAGACACUAUCAUUUUCCUUUCAAAUACCACUUAGUUUAGUUAUUCUACUACAUAAAAUAUUAAUAAAUAAAGCUUAAGUGUGUUGUUCAGCUUGAACAUAAUUAAAAAUAAUUCAGUGAAUUCUUCUGAAAAUUGAGUGACUGCGCCUGCACCUGGUGUUCAAGAUGAACUGAAGAUGAUCUGUAAACUGAAGCACAGCUGGUUUCUAUUCUAUGAGUAAUAAUCUAUUACACACACACACAGCAGCACGGCCACUUUAAAGCUCCUUGAAAUUUUAAAACAUUUAUAGGACAGUAAUCACCUCUGAAGAACACAACUGACCUUAUCUUUCCAUACAUUAUCUGUGAGUUAGAGCUCGUUUGAGCAACUUUAAUUAGUGGCAGAAAGUUUGUCAUAUUCAAGUGUUACACCCUAUUGUUAAUGAAAAGAUAACAUGCUGUUUAAUUUGUCUGUUCACUAAAAUGUUCCAAUUUGAAAGGAAUGACUUGAUGCCAAUAUUUAAAAAAACCAAAGGGAAAAACUGCAUAGUUUGUCUGGUUUAUUGCACAGCUCACUUCCAGUAAAUUGUGAAACUGUGACUCAUGUGACUCCACGUCACACACAACAGGAAUCCACAUUUAGUCUUGAAUUACUGCAUAACACUGUUCUGCGCAAAAAUGGUAAAUUUCUACAUGGUUUGCUUUCAACAAGCCAAUUUCUGUUGUGCAAAAUCCCGUUCUUCAAGUUUUCUGACAUUUGGUUUUGGAUUUUAUUUACUUUUUCUACUCAUUUUCGGAUAUUUGGAUAUUUGGAGGAAUGAAAAUGAUGUCCACCAGCUGAAAAUUAUGUUUAACAAAAACAAAUCUGGCGAACAAAUGACUUAGGACCCAAGAGAUUCAUCCAUCAGGUGAUUAUUUACUAGAUGCUAACUAAGAAACUGACUUGGACUAAGAAAACUAAAGCUAAAAUAAUAAAUUGUAUGAUGUACCAUUUUUUUGUUUUAGGUUUACAAUGAGUCAUAUGUCCUUUUUCCACAAAAAUCAUAUAAUUGUGUUUAUUUCAAUAAAUCGACAUAAUGCUGUGUGAUUGGAGAUGGAAGCUUGCCAUCAGAGGCCAAAUAACCAUUAAGACAGUUUUGUCACUGAAUAUUACACAAGGCUGUGCUUUUGGUAUUGACUCUUCCCCGAAUAACCUCCCAGGUUUGUAAUCCAGUGAAACAGCUAACAUCUGUUUGUGCACAAACAGAUCAAAGUCAGAAAAACUCAACAUUAGAGACGAAUGAUAUGGAGUUUAAAUUUUAUGACAAUAUUUUGUCAUUUGUAGGGUGAAAACAUCAAAAGUAGCAAUCUCAACCACAAUUUAACUAUUUGGUGAAAACCUCUUGAGAAACAGUGAAAACCGAUCCAGACUUUAUAAAAAGAGUAAAAUCUAACUUACUUAUCCGAACAUGAGAAUAAGCGGGCUGACUAAAAGACUCAGCGUCAAUAAAAAUACCUCCAUGGUGACAAAUUGCACAAUAACUUUUAUAUAAAUUAAGCUGACUAUUCCUCACUCCCAAUAAAUACUUGGGCUUAGUUUUGAGGUAAGCAUUAGGUUAUAAAACCAUAGGUAUACCUGCAGUCAUAGAGUCAACCUGAAACACAGAGAACCUGCUAAUGCGUUCACCCACACCUCUCCAUCCUGCUGCCCUGGGGCCGAUGACAAGGUGUUUCUGAAAUCGCAUUAGGGGCCCUUUCAUAGAGGUUUCACCAGGGAGUGAGUAACAGCUUGAAACAUUUAGACUUUGUUUAAUGCAAUGCAGGUUCGUUGCGCAGUACUUUGUCUCGUCUGUGGAAAGGGGGCCUGAGAUGCCAGAGACCCCCACUGUCAGAGUUUGCUUUGAUAUCUGAAGGUGGAAGGAAAACAGGGCACAGCUAACCCCCCCAUUCCUCAAAAACUGUAAGCUCAAUAUCUGAGUCUGCUCCGCUGCCAUGUGAAGUUAUAGCUGUCGAGCUUUGAAGUGCAGCCCUCUGAGGUUUAACACUCUGGAGACGUGCAUGAAGACAAGAUGCCAUGAUUUACAGUUACAUGUCUGUUUCAGCCAAAACAAAAAUCAUGGAUUUCAUAAAGGAACUGAACAGUUUUGUUUUCUCGAUUGCCCCUGAUAUAAGUAAAAGGAACUACAAGUAUACUUAUAUACCAGGA